CAGCCGCCGCGGGAAUACGGAGGGUGCAAGCGUUAAUCGGAAUUACUGGGCGUAAAGCGCACGCAGGCGGUCUGACAAGUCAGAUGUGAAAUCCCCGGGCUUAACCUGGGAACUGCAUUUGAAACUGUCAGGCUGGAGUCUUGUAGAGGGGGGUGGAAUUCCAGGUGUAGCGGUGAAAUGCGUAGAGAUCUGGAGGAAUACCGGUGGCGAAGGCGGCCCCCUGGACAAAGACUGACGCUCAGGUGCGAAAGCGUGGGGAGCAAACAGGAUUAGAUACCCGUGUAGUCCCUGUCUCUUAUAC
rnacentral:rRNA from 1 species